UACGUAGGGUGCAAGCGUUGUCCGGAAUUAUUGGGCGUAAAGAGCUCGUAGGCGGUCUGUCACGUCUGCUGUGAAAACUCGGGGCUUAACCCCGGGCCUGCAGUGGGUACGGGCAGACUAGAGGUAGGUAGGGGAGAAUGGAAUUCCCGGUGUAGCGGUGAAAUGCGCAGAUAUCGGGAGGAACACCGGUGGCGAAGGCGGUUCUCUGGGCCUUACCUGACGCUGAGGAGCGAAAGCGUGGGGAGCGAACAGG
rnacentral:rRNA from 1 species